rnacentral:rRNA from 1 species
AUUGAACGCUGGCGGCAUGCCUUACACAUGCAAGUCGAACGGUAACGCGGGGCAACCUGGCGACGAGUGGCGAACGGGUGAGUAAAGCAUCGGAACGUGCCCAGUAGUGGGGGAUAGCCCGGCGAAAGCCGGAUUAAUACCGCAUACGACCUAAGGGUGAAAGGGGGGGAUCGCAAGACCUCUCGCUAUUGGAGCGGCCGAUGUCAGAUUAGCUAGUUGGUGGGGUAAAAGCUCACCAAGGCGACGAUCUGUAGCUGGUCUGAGAGGACGACCGGCCACACUGGGACGGAGACACGGCCCAGACUCCUACGGGAGGCAGCAGUGGGGAAUUUUGGACAAUGGACGAAAGUCUGAUCCAGCCAUGCCGCGUGCGGGAAGAAGGCCCUCGGGUUGUAAACUGCUUUUGUACGGAACGAAAAGGUCUCUCUUAAUACGGGGGGCUCAUGACGGUACCGUAAGAAUAAGCACCGGCUAACUACGUGCCAGCCGCCGCCGUAA